CUAUUUCUAUGUUCUCUGGUCUGGUCUUUCUAUCUGAAGUCCACUGGGCAUGCUCCUGCUGCUAUAGUUUUGUCAUAAAAAUAUUUGUUAUGAAGCACUUGGUGUUAUGCUACACUUGAGUUCAGGUGAAAACUUAUUAUCUUUUUUAUGCUCAGCAGCUUAUAUAAUCCAAGUUUUAAUGUCCUUAUUUUCAGAAAGUGGAUGUCAGGAACAGUUCCCUAUUAGCUUGCUGUGAGGAUUCAAUUUAUUAAUCUGGGAAAGUGUACAGAAGAUAUAUAUAUACACACACAUAUGUAUAUAUCUUAAAAAUGAAGUAGAAAUCAGCUGCGGAAAUGUGGACAACACAAAACCAAACUGUCCUGACACAUUUCUUCAGAAGUUCUGGCUAUACCUUUCUCCCAGGUCUUUUCAAACCUUGUAGGAGGCACUGGCCUGCUGCUCUGAAAUUAACUAAGGCCUCCCUGGAGAGGAGCUGUGUCACAUGAGUAUCCUGACACAUCAGUUCCUCCACCUAAAUGUGCCCUGUGACCCCACACUGGAGGAUUCUGAUCAGUGUGCAGGGAGUCCCUGCAACUUCCAGGAAGAAGACUGUGUAUUCCAGUAGCAUUUCAACAAAACAACAGGAGCAGCAGCAGCAGCAGUAACUGCAACAACAACAACAACAACAACAACAACAACAACAACAACAAUGAAUUGAAAAUCAAGCCAAGAACACCACAAGAAGAGCCACAGAGUCAAGAACCUGAGACCAUGAAUGGGGGCUCACAGAGCUUGGGCCACCAACCGGGGAGCACACAAUAGCUAGAAAUAGAUGCUCUAUACAUUUGUAGCAAACAUACAGCUUGCCUUUUAGGUGGGGCCCCUAACAAAUGGAGCAGAGGUUGUCUUCAUCCCUGUUCCCUGCCAUUGGAUGCCCUUCCCCUGACCUAGGCUGCCUGGUUGGGCCUCAGUGGGAGAGGGUGCCUAUUGCUUCUGGGACUAGAUGCCCCAGGGUGGGGUGGUACCCAAGGGGAGCUUCGGAGGAGGGACUUUUAAGGGUGGGCCUGGGAAGACCAGAGGGAAGGUAGCUGUGAUUGGGAUGUAAAGUGAAUAAAUAAAAAAUAAAAAUAAAAAACAGAUGAAAAUCAAAACCAGGAAAACUGUCCACAUUUCCUUGAAAUGCUGUACCCAUCUCCUUUCUGUUAAACUAGUAUGGAAACCUUAACCUCUGGGCAUUCAGUGAGCAAUUCCAAUGCAAGUGUGAAUAUUUGUCUUUUCUCUUGCUAAUCAAUUACCAGUUAAUUUGAAGGUCUGCUUCUGGAGUCAAAUCUUAAUGGAUAGAGUAAAAGUUCAUUCUUCUAAUAACUGAAAAGUCAAAUCUCAAGUGCUAGCUCACAGUUUUAUGAUGAACAUCAGUCUUUAAGCAAUAUCCUCUGACAGACUAAAUGUAUGCAUAGUUUUGUUUGAGAACCAAAAUAAUGUUGAUAAAUUUCAAUUGUUAGGGACAACACAGUAAAUAUUUUAGACUUGGGGGGUUAUAUGGUGUCUCUUGCCAUGCUUAAUUGUGCUCUUGUGGUAUAGGAGCAUCCGUCAGUAUCCAUCAGUAACACUUACAUAAGCAAGUAUGGCUAUAUUUCAAUAAAGUUUUAUUGGUAGAUACUGAAGUUUCAUAAACUUUUCAUUUUUUUUUAAUUACUAAAUAUUUUCCUCAGAACUCCUUAAUUUGUUUGGUAUAUAAAAACUGAUAGCUGGCUAGACUUGGUGUGGGCCAUAGCUUGUUGACUAUUUAUCUAGACCAUUAUGCCCAGCCUUUUUUACUUUAUAGAACACAUGGAGAAUGAUGCUUGAACCACAUGCUGGGGUAAAUGACCAUGGACACUCAUGGUGGAGUUGGAUUUGAUGGAUUGUUAGCUGGUAGACCUUUGACUGUAUUGAGAGCUGAGACCACUGAAAAACAUGUAAUUUAUUCACUAGUUUACAAGCUACUGAUAUGGAAUCCUAGACAGUCUUCCCAUCUUCUAUCUCAGUACAUGACACGAUGCAGACUAUUUGAAGACCCUUUGAAUAUUCUAGAGAUAAGCUGACUAUUGUCUGAGCACUCAUUUCUCAAAAAAAUGCAGGAAACCAUGACUAAAUUAUACAUAGAUAAUUAUACUAGAGUUUAUACUGGUUGAAGAGAAAGCCAUAUUUUGUCAGAAAGUGCUAUCCUGGGUCCUCAAGUCCCAUCAGUGGUAGCCAGCAAAGUUGUUCAACCCUCGGUACCUCUGGUUCAUUCUGUCCUGGACAUCUCUGUAUAUACUGGGGAUUAUAAGAAAUCAUGAUGUUUUAAUUGCUGGGCUAUUUGCAAUGAUUUUUUUUACAGCCUUACUUAAAGAUCAAGAAUGGCUUAAAGACUAAAAAGAGAUAUGGAUAAUUUAAAAUUUGAUAUUCUAGGUUAUAAUGCUCUAUUUCAUAAUCUCACAACUAAGUAUAAGUUAAUAAGUUUAUAGAUACUAUAUCUAAGUCAACUGUAUAGUAUUCUUCUGAAUAGGUCUAUAUGGAACUGUGACUCCUCAGCUUCAUAUGUUGAAAUCUUACUCUUUAGUGCCUAGUGCCUCCAAAUGGCUGGAAUUGAACAUAUUUGUAAUACGGU
rnacentral:lncRNA from 1 species